AAAGAAUGAGCAUUUAAGGGGUCUUGUCUGUUCCAUGGCUUUGGAAAUGUUAUUCAUGGGUCUUCUUGCUAGCCUUCUGUUUUUCCCCCAUGCUGAGGGAUGAGAGCUGAGUAGGUGUUUGGCUGUUGGCCAUGGUUAACCCACCACAGAUAUCUUCACAGAUACAGAGGGACCUCUUGUCAUUAGGACUUUCACUCUCUCAAAAGGAUGUGGGAGUGGCAUGUAAAGGAAAGACUCCUAUCAAAAGGUGUCCUGUGAAUUAGAAAGGGAUUUCAAAAGGAGUAGAGGCCAUGCCAAGCAUAGAAUUAUGUAGAACAGCUUUAUGCCUGAACAUGAGGAUUAAGUACAGCCUUAAAAUCACUACACUCCUCCCACAUACAAGCCUUACUUUACAUGGAAAAGGAGCUGGAUUCUUACUUAAUUUGUAAGCAGUGCACUGGCCUGCUGAGGCAGCAUAAGUACAUUCCCUUUGUGGCACACUGAAAAAGGUCACAAAUGUAUUCCUAUAGAGAUGUGUCACAAGCCUGUAUUUUCCCAUGUUUGAAAGCUUGAGCCUGAAUAGAGCACCUCUUUCAGAACACUGAGAUUUUCUGAGCUUGAAACUUCUGUAAACUGCAAGAUAUUAUAUGGCUAUUUUGUGUUAGGAGAAUCUUUUGCCAUCUAGUUUUGGAGAUUAUUUUACUGGAAACAAUUAAUUCUCUUUUUGCAGAUUAUUUUACUGGAAACAAUAAUUUCUCUUUUUAACAUAAUUAAUGUUGUUUUAGGCAACUCAAGUUAUUUGUGCAAGUUUGUAUUUGGGUGUUGUUAUGUCUCAGUGCAAGUACAAACUGCUAUGUGUAUCCUAAGUGAUUCUUCCCUAUUCCUCUACACUUUGUGAUAAUGAAAUUAAAGUAUUCAUUAUGCUUAGAAAUACUUGGAAUUGCUGAGAGGGCAGGGAAGAAAAACACAGAAUUCAGACAUGACCUAUUUACCAAGUGGUAACAAGUCAUUGCAGGCUAGCCCAUCUCUGGUGCACGGUCUUAGCCUGCAGCAUACAUAAAUGAAACUCAAGUUGGUUUAGCCCUUAAGGUAAAGUCAAGUCUGAAGAUUUGGAAGGAAUUAUAUCUUUGAACCCUAAUCAGAUAAUUUCUAUUUAGCAACUCUAGUUCUGCUUAUAGCUCUGAUAUGGUGCAGAGGUGCUUUGGGGGAUAUGACACAUCUCAGUUUCACCAAGGUUUUAACUUAAACAGAACUGGGGAAUUAAAGGGUUUUUGGUUGGUUCCAGCUGUCUUUUGAUUUAGAGUGUAAUUUAAAAAUGAUUAAUGGAGAUUGUGCACUGCUUGAAUUUUCUAAAGUAUUUUGUGAUUAAAGUCUUCUGUUUUGUGGUUUUCCUGAGUAGCUUGGGCAACGUUUCUGAAUUCUUCACACUGACAUCCUUUCCACAGCCUCCUUUUCAAGAAUUCAGAAUUUUCAACGGUGAAAUUUUAUGGCCUCUUGCCUCCAGUGAUUUGAUCCCUAAGAAUUUGCCAGUGGUAAAGCACUAUGAAUUUCAGAAGGUAUGUUUUCCUAUUCAAAUACCCUUCAACAACAUCUUUGAAGUAUUCCACAGAUCUCCAGCAGUCCAUGGAUGGGAGUUGAAAAUCACUGUAUUACCACAGUACUACUUCCUACUCUUUGUUUUCUUUAAUUAAAACUAUUUGAACAGA